GUCCGUUAUGCCCUGAGAUGAGGCGGGCUGCACGCGCACUACGAUAGAUGGCGCUUCUGCCUGCUGUGAGGGAUGAAGCUGUGUAAGGGGCUUCUGAACGUGGAAUUCCUAGUAAUAGCGGCUGACGAAGCUGCUUUGAAUGUGUCCCUGUCCUUUGUACACACCGCCCGUCGCUAUCUAAGAUGACGCACUGGACGAAGAUCGGAAGGUCUGAGUCCUGAGUGUUAGAUAAGAUA
rnacentral:rRNA from 1 species